rnacentral:rRNA from 1 species
UGGGGAAUAUUGCACAAUGGGGGAAACCCUGAUGCAGCGACGCCGCGUGAGCGAAGAAGGUUUUCGUAUUGUAAUGCUUUGUCCUAUGAGAAGAUAAUGACGGUAUCAUAGGAGGAAGCCCUGGCUAAAUCCGUGCCAGCAGCCGCGGUAAUACGUAUGGGGCGAGCUUUGUCCAGAAUUAUUUGGCGUAAAGGGUACGUAGUCGGUCUCUUAAGUCAGGUGUGAAAGCGUGGGGCUUAACCUCAUUAAGCACUUGAAACUGAUAGACUUGAGUGAAGACGAGGAAAGUUGAAUUCCUCGUGUAGCGAUGUAAUGCUUAGCUAUUAGGUGGAAUACCGUUGGCGAAGGCGGCUUUUUGUCCUGCAACUCACACUGAGGCGCGAACGCGUGGGGAGCAAACAGG